rnacentral:rRNA from 1 species
UAGGGAAUCUUCGGCAAUGGACGAAAGUCUGACCGAGCAACGCCGCGUGAGUGAAGAAGGUUUUCGGAUCGUAAAACUCUGUUGUUAGAGAAGAACAAGGACGUUAGUAACUGAACGUCCCCUGACGGUAUCUAACCAGAAAGCCACGGCUAACUACGUGCCAGCAGCCGCGGUAAUACGUAGGUGGCAAGCGUUGUCCGGAUUUAUUGGGCGUAAAGCGAGCGCAGGCGGUUUCUUAAGUCUGAUGUGAAAGCCCCCGGCUCAACCGGGGAGGGUCAGUGGAAACUGGGAGACUUGAGUGCAGAAGAGGAGAGUGGAAUUCCAUGUGUAGCGGUGAAAUGCGUAGAUAUAUGGCGGAACACCAGUGGCGAAGGCGGCUCUCUGGUCUGUAACUGACGCUGAGGCUCGAAAGCGUGGGGAGCAAACAGG